UGGCUUCAAACUGAAAGAGGGUAGAUUUAUGUUAGACAUAAGAAAAAAGUCUUUUACAGUGAGGGUGGUGAGUCACUGGAACAGGUUGCCUAGAGAUGUGGUGGAUGCCCCAACCCUGAAGACUUUCAAGCCAGCACAAAGAGGAUAAAUUCAGGCAACUGGAGUCCAUAAUUCCUCCAUAAUGCCUUCAGCAAAUGCUUCUGCUUUCCAGAUUGCAGAGACCACAGCCCCUAAUAAGAGGCUCCUCUGGCUGCAUAAGGGCACAAUGAGGUUUGCUCUUGAACUGAC
rnacentral:lncRNA from 1 species